rnacentral:rRNA from 1 species
UACGUAGGGGGGCGAGCGUUGUCCGGAUUUAUUGGGCGUAAAGAGCGUGUAGGCGCCAGGUAGGUCUGCUGUGAAAACUCGAGGCUCAACCUCGAGACGUCGGCGGAAACCAUCUGGCUAGAGUCCGGAAGAGGAGAGUGGAAUUCCUGGUGUAGCGGUGAAAUGCGCAGAUAUCAGGAAGAACACCCGUGGCGAAGGCGGCGUCUCUGGGACGGUACUGCGCUGAGACGCGAAAGCGUGGGGAGCGAACAGG